UACAGAGGUCCCGAGCGUUUGUUCGGAUUCACUGGGCGUAAAGGGUGCGUAGGUGGUGAGGUAAGUCGGAUGUGAAAUCUCCGGGCUCAACCCGGAAAUGGCAUUGGAAACUACCUUGCUUGAGGUUUUGAGGGGGGACUGGAAUUCUCGGUGUAGCAGUGAAAUGCGUAGAUAUCGAGAGGAACACCGGUGGCGAAGGCGGUUCUCUGGGCCUGUACUGACGCUGAGGAGCGAAAGCGUGGGGAGCGAACAGG
rnacentral:rRNA from 1 species